rnacentral:lncRNA from 1 species
GAGGGCUAUGGUCCUCUUUCUUCUGAUUUUCUCUUCAGUGCGUUGCUUCAUGGUCAGUUCGUGAGUUAUAAGGGAUCCAAACAGCUUCUCCAAUGAUAGAAUAUUCAAAUCUUUGGCCUCUUGGAUUGCAGUGACUUUUGCCUCCCAUGAUCUUGGUAAGAAUCUGAGCACUUUUCUCACAAUAUCACUAUUAGAAUAAUAUUUGUCAAGACUUUUUAAACUAUUUAUGAUGUCAGUG